CCGUAGCCAAGAGAUCGGGAUAACACCUGGAAACAGAUGCUAAUACCGGAUAACAACAGAUGAUGCCUAUCAACUGUUUAAAAGAUGGUUCUGCUAUCACUCUUGGAUGGACCUGCGGUGCAUUAGCUAGUUGGUAGGGUAACGGCCUACCAAGGCGAUGAUGCAUAGCCGAGUUGAGAGACUGAUCGGCCACAUUGGGACUGAGACACGGCCCAAACUCCUACGGGAGGCAGCAGCC
rnacentral:rRNA from 1 species